rnacentral:rRNA from 1 species
ACGCACGCUGGCGGCGUGCUUCACACCUGCCAGUCGAACGGUGAAGCGCCUUCCUUUUUGGUGGGUGUGGAUGAGUGGCGAACGGGUGAGUAACACGUGAGUAACCUGCCCCCUUCUUCUGGAUAACCGCAUGAAAGUGUGGCUAAUACGGGAUAUUCUGGGUCUGUCGCAUGAUGGGUCUGGGAAAGAUAUUGUUUCGGUGGGGGAUGGGCUCGCGGCCUAUCAGCUUGUUGGUGGGGUGAUGGCCUACCAAGGCGGUGACGGGUAGCCGGCCUGAGAGGGUGGACGGUCACACUGGGACUGAGACACGGCCCAGACUCCGACGGGAGGCAGCAGUGGGGAAUAUUGCACAAUGGGCGCAAGCCUGAUGCAGCGACGCCGCGUGAGGGAUGGAGGCCUUCGGGUUGUGAACCUCUUUCGCCAGUGAAGCAGGCCUGCCUCGUUUGUGGGUGGGUUGACGGUAGCUGGAUAAGAAGCGCCGGCUAACUACGUG